UUCCGCAAUGGACGAAAGUCUGACGGAGCAACGCCGCGUGAGUGAUGAAGGCUUUCGGGUCGUAAAACUCUGUUGUUAGGGAAGAACAAGUGCUAGUUGAAUAAGCUGGCACCUUGACGGUACCUAACCAGAAAGCCACGGCUAACUACGUGCCAGCAGCCGCGGUAAUACGUAGGUGGCAAGCGUUAUCCGGAAUUAUUGGGCGUAAAGCGCGCGCAGGUGGUUUCUUAAGUCUGAUGUGAAAGCCCACGGCUCAACCGUGGAGGGUCAUUGGAAACUGGGAGACUUGAGUGCAGAAGAGGAAAGUGGAAUUCCAUGUGUAGCGGUGAAAUGCGUAGAGAUAUGGAGGAACACCAGUGGCGAAGGCGACUUUCUGGUCUGUAACUGACACUGAGGCGCGAAAGCGUGGGGAGCAAACAGGAUUAGAUACCCUGGUAGUCCACGCCGUAAACGAUGAGUGCUAAGUGUUAGAGGGUUUCCGCCCUUUAGUGCUGAAGUUAACGCAUUAAGCA
rnacentral:rRNA from 1 species